CAUGGGCGCAGCCUGAUGCAGCCAUGCCGCGUGUGUGAAGAAGGCCUUCGGGUUGUAAAGCACUUUCAGCUCGUGAGGAAGGUAGUGUAGUUAAUAGCUGCAUUAUUUGACGUUAGCGACAGAAGAAGCACCGGCUAACUCCGUG
rnacentral:rRNA from 1 species